AUGCCAGUUGAGCUAUUUCAAAUCCUGAAAGAUGAUGCUGUGAAAGUGCUGCACUCAAUAUGCGAACAAAUUUUGAAACCUUUGCAGUGGCCACAGGACUGGAAAGGGUCAGUUUUCAUUCCAAUCCCAAAGAAAAGCAAUGCCAAAGAAUGCUCAAACUACCGCACAAUUGCACUCAUCUCACAUGCUAAUAAAGUAAUGCUCAAAAUUCUCCAAGCCAGGCUUCAGCAAUACAUGAACUGUGAACUUCCUGAUGUUCAAGCUGGUUUUAGAAAAGGCAGAGGAACCAGAGAUCAAAUUGCCAACAUCCACUGGAUCAUGGAAAAAGCAAGAGAGUUCCAGAAAAACAUCUAUUUCUGCUUUAUUGACUAUGCCAAAGCCUUUGACUGUGUGGAUCACAGUAAACUGUGGAAAAUUAUUCAAGAGAUGGGAAUACCAGACCACCUGACCUGCCUCUUGAGAAACCUGUAUGCAUGUCAGGAAGCAACAGUUAGAACUGGACAUGGAACAACAGACUGGUUCCAAAUAGGAAAAGGAGUACGUCAAGGCUGUAUAUUGUCACCCUGCUUAUUUAACUUAUAUGCAGAAUACAUCAUGAGAAACGCUGGACUGGAAGAAACACAAGCUGGAAUCAAGAUUGCCGGGAGAAAUAUCAAUAACCUCAGAUAUGCAGAUGACACCACCCUUAUGGCAGAAAGUGAAGAGGAACUAAAAAGCCUCUUGAUGAAAGUGAAAGAGGAGAGCGAAAAAGUUGGCUUAAAGCUCAACAUUCAGAAAACGAAGAUCAUGGCAUCUGGUCCCAUCACUCCAUGGGAAAUAGAUGAGGAAACAGUGGAAACAGUGUCAGACUUUAUCUUUUUGGGCUCCAAAAUCACUGCAGAUGGUGAUUCCAGCCAUGAAAUUAAAGGAUUCUUACUCCUUGGAAGAAAAGUUAUGACCAACCUAGAUAGCAUAUUCAAAAGCAGAGACAUUACUUUGCCAACAAAGGUCUGUCUAGUCAAUGCUAUUGGUUUUCCAGUAGUCAUGUGCGGAUGUGAGAGUUGGACUGUGAAGAAGGCUGAGCACUGA
rnacentral:lncRNA from 1 species